GAUUAUUUAGCUAUAUGUAAGUACUUAUUUUGAAAAUAAGUGAAAAAUUUUAUUUAAUAAUCU
rnacentral:tRNA from 1 species